UACGAAGGGGGCUAGCGUUGUUCGGAAUUACUGGGCGUAAAGCGCACGUAGGCGGACUAUUAAGUCAGGGGUGAAAUCCCGGGGCUCAACCCCGGAACUGCCUUUGAUACUGGUAGUCUCGAGUCCGGAAGAGGUGAGUGGAAUUCCGAGUGUAGAGGUGAAAUUCGUAGAUAUUCGCAAGAACACCAGUGGCGAAGGCGGCUCACUGGUCCGGUUCUGACGCUGAGGCGCGAAAGCGUGGGGAGCAAACAGG
rnacentral:rRNA from 1 species